rnacentral:rRNA from 1 species
GAUGAACGCUGGCGGCGUGCCUAACACAUGCAAGUCGAACGGAGUCCAGCCUUUAAGACCUUCGGGUCAAAGAGGGGAAGACUGAGUGGCGGACGGGUGAGUAACACGUGGGCAACCUGGCUCAUAGAGGGGGAUAACAGAGAGAAAUUUCUGCUAAUACCGCAUAAGCACACACUGCCGCAUGGCAGAGGGUGAAAAGAGAAUCGCUAUGAGAUGGACCCGCGUCUGAUUAGCCAGUUGGCAGGGUAAGAGCCUACCAAAGCGACGAUCAGUAGCCGAUCUGAGAGGAUGAACGGCCACAUUGGGACUGAGACACGGCCCAAACUCCUACGGGAGGCAGCAGUGGGGGAUAUUGCACAAUGGGGGGAACCAUGAUGCAGCGACGCCGCGUGAGUGAAGAAGUAUUUCGGUAUGUAAAGCUCUAUCAGCAGGGAAGAUAAUGACAGUACCUGAAUAAGAAGCCCCGGCUAACUACGUG